rnacentral:ncRNA from 1 species
UAUAUACAUAGCUAUUCAGGUGUCUAUUUUAAUAGGCUUAAUAGGGAACUUGGUGAAAAUCCAAGACUGCCCCCGCAACUGUAAAUGUGGACGAAAUGACAUAUAGACCACUGCAUAAUUGGCGCUCGAUAGAGUAGUAAUUAUGUGGGAAGGGUCAAAGUAGGGUGAAGCAUGAGUCAGGAGACCUGCCUGAAUUUCUAUUUUCAA